AGCUGAUCCGAGUGAAAUGGUGUUUGCAACUUACUUACCAUAGUCAGUUACAGAUUUCUUUGUUCCUUUUCCACUCCCACUGCUUCACUUGACUACCCUUAA
rnacentral:Y_RNA from 1 species